GUGGGGAAUAUUGGACAAUGGGCGCAAGCCUGAUCCAGCCAUGCCGCGUGAGUGAUGAAGGCCUUAGGGUUGUAAAGCUCUUUUGUCCGGGAAGAUAAUGACUGUACCGGAAGAAUAAGCCCCGGCUAACUUCGUGCCAGCAGCCGCGGUAAUACGAAGGGGGCUAGCGUUGUUCGGAAUCACUGGGCGUAAAGCGCACGUAGGCGGACCAUUAAGUCAGGGGUGAAAGCCUGGAGCUCAACUCCAGAACUGCCGUUGAUACUGAUGGUCUCGAGUAUGGAAGAGGUUGGUGGAACUGCGAGUGUAGAGGUGAAAUUCGUAGAUAUUCGCAAGAACACCGGUGGCGAAGGCGGCCAACUGGUCCAUUACUGACGCUGAGGUGCGAAAGCGUGGGGAGCAAACAGGAUUAGAUACCCGGGUAGUCC
rnacentral:rRNA from 1 species